rnacentral:rRNA from 1 species
UGGGGAAUCUUGGACAAUGGGGGCAACCCUGAUCCAGCGAUGCCGCGUGAGUGAAGAAGGCCUUCGGGUCGUAAAGCUCUUUAGGCUGGGAAGAAGUUUGGUUGAGGAAAUGCGAUCAAGUUGACUGUACCAGCAGAAUAAGCACCGGCAAACUCUGUGCCAGCAGCCGCGGUAAUACAGAGGGUGCGAGCGUUGAUCGGAGUUACUGGGCGUAAAGGGCGCGUAGGCGGUUGUAUGAGUGUGGUGUGAAAGCCCCGGGCUUAACCUGGGAAGUGCACCGCAAACGAUAUAACUGGAGUAGAUGAGAGGGUGGUGGAAUUUCCGGUGUAGCGGUGAAAUGCGUAGAGAUCGGAAGGAACGUCAAUGGCGAAGGCAGCCACCUGGCAUCAUACUGACGCUGAGGCGCGAAAGCGUGGGGAGCGAACA